rnacentral:rRNA from 1 species
GCAUAUCAAUAAGCGGAGGAAAAGAAACUAACAAGGAUUCCCCUAGUAGCGGCGAGCGAAGCGGGAAGAGCUCAAAUUUAUAAUCUGGCACCUUCGGUGUCCGAGUUGUAAUCUCUAGAAGUGUUUUCCGCGUUGGACCGCACACAAGUCUGUUGGAAUACAGCGGCAUAGUGGUGAAACCCCCGUAUAUGGUGCGGACGCCCAGCGCUUUGUGAUACACUUUCAAUGAGUCGAGUUGUUUGGGAAUGCAGCUCAAAUUGGGUGGUAAAUUCCAUCUAAAGCUAAAUAUUGGCGAGAGACCGAUAGCGAACAAGUACCGUGAGGGAAAGAUGAAAAGCACUUUGGAAAGAGAGUUAACAGUACGUGAAAUUGUUGGAAGGGAAACGCUUGAAGUCAGACUUGCUUGCCGGAGCUUGCUUCGGUUUGCAGGCCAGCAUCAGUUUUCCGGGGUGGAUAAUGACGGUUUGAAGGUAGCAGUCUCGGCUGUGUUAUAGCUUUCCGUUGGAUACAUCCUGGGGGACUGAGGAACGCAGCGUGCUUUUUGCGAAAGACUCGUCUUUUUCACGCUUAGGAUGCUGGUGGAAUGGCUUUAAACGACCCGUCUUGAAACACGGACCAAGGAGUCUAACAUGCUCGCGAGUAUUUGGGUGUCAAACCCGGAUGCGCAAUGAAAGUGAAUGUAGGUGGGAACCGCAAGGUGCACCAUCGACCGAUCUGGAUUUUUUAAGAUGGAUUUGAGUAAGAGCGCGUAUGUUGGGACCCGAAAGAUGGUGAACUAUGCCUGAAUAGGGCGAAGCCAGAGGAAACUCUGGUGGAGGCUCGUAGCGGUUCUGACGUGCAAAUCGAUCGUCAAAUUUGGGUAUAGGGGCGAAAGACUAAUCGAACCAUCUAGUAGCUGGUUCCUGCGA